rnacentral:rRNA from 1 species
UACGGGGGGGGCAAGCGUUGUUCGGAAUUACUGGGCGUAAAGGGCGCGUAGGCGGCCUUCUAAGUCAGACGUGAAAUCCCCCGGCUUAACCUGGGAACUGCGUCUGAUACUGGAGGGCUUGAGUAUGGGAGAGGGAUGUAGAAUUCCAGGUGUAGCGGUGAAAUGCGUAGAUAUCUGGAGGAAUACCGGUGGCGAAGGCGGCAUCCUGGACCAUUACUGACGCUGAGGCGCGAAAGCUAGGGGAGCAAACGGGG